CUUAAAUGGACAAAGAAAUCAGCACGUGGUGAGAAAGAGAUUGAAGAGAGAAGAGAGAAUGGGAGUCAUUUGGUAUAUUGAAAAUCUGGAAUGAUAUUUUAACAGAGAUGUCAGGAUUAGCCUUGGACAGGAAAAUGGAAGAAAGCAAAGGUAGAUGGAGACAUGGACAAGAUGGCAGAUGGGGCAUGCACAGAUAGGCUGCAGUGCCUCCUGUCUAAUAGUCUCAGCAGCAAAGUCAUCUGCAAUAAGACAUAGCAGUGUUGGGUGGCAUGAGGAAGCCUGGAUGCGGAUGGAGGGCUGAAGAAGAACUGUAAAGAGGAGCAACUUGCCCUGAGUGCCUACUACUUGACAAGCACGAAAACUACAUCAUUCUUCAUCCUUACAAAAUCUUUAGACUGGGUAACAGCAUUCCCAUUAUAUGAAGAAACUGAGGUGAGAAAGUGAAAUAAUCUGUCCAUGGUCACAUAGCUGGGAAAAACCUGACAUUUGAACCCAAUUGUAUAUAGCUACAAAGCCCUGUUUCUGGGAACCAUAUUGCCUCUUCCAAACUUGGUAUUGCCCUGGAAAUUUCUGGGUUAAAAGAAGAUAUUCUUGAUCCUUAAUUGGAUUUGAGGGUGGCAGGGGGAGUGUUCAAAGACAUUUUUGGGACAACUACAAAAGUCUGGACUAUAUUUUAGGUAGUAGUAUUAUUGCACUAAUGUUAAUUCUUGUAAGUGUGAUAAUCAUAUCAUAGUAUGUAGGAAAAAUAAUGGCCUUAUUCUUAGGAAAUGCAUGAUAGAGUGUUCAAGAUGAUAUGUCAAGUUCUCUGCAAUUUACUUUCAAAGGGUUUGUCACAUUGUGUGUGUGCUUACAGAAAUGGAUGGAUACAUGCAUACAUAGACAGGCAGACAGCUAUCUCAAAAGAGAAAGAGAGGAAAAAAAAGGCAGACAGAGAAAGCAAAUGUUAACAACUGCUGAAUCUAGGUGAAGAAUAUAUUAAUUUUGUGGGGGUUUUCUUUCAGCUUAACUGUAGGUUUGAAAUAUUUUCAGAAUAAAAAUUGGG
rnacentral:lncRNA from 1 species